GACCGUGUAGCUCAGUUGGUUAGAGCGUGGUGCUAAUAGUUCCGUUGGAAGAUAACGCCAAGGCCGCGAGUUCGACCCUCGUCAUGGUCA